UACGUAGGGAGCAAGCGUUGUCCGGAAUCAUUGGGCGUAAAGCGCGCGUAGGUGGCUUCGUAAGUCCGUUGUGAAAGUCAAAGGCUCAACCUUUGAAAGCCGAUGGAUACUGUGAAGCUAGAGUACGGAAGAGGCGAGUGGAAUUCCUGGUGGUAGCGGUGGAAAUGCGCAGAUAUCAGGAGGAACACCCAAUAGCGAAGGCAGCUCGCUGGAACGGUACUGACGCUGAGGCGCGAAAGCGUGGGGAGCAAACAGG
rnacentral:rRNA from 1 species